CCUCCGCAAUCUAUAUCGAAUUGUGGGGGUUUAUUUACCCCCACAAAUAUAAUAUAUUUACGGCAGUCGGUAACCUCCGCAACACAAAAAAAAUAGCGCCCACUAACCCCAAUGUUUCCCUCGUUUUUUAAUUCUUUCCCUCUCUUUUUUUCCGACACCCCUUUCUCAUUUUCAGUUGCAAACUAAAAAAACCCUCUUUCAUUCCUUUAACCAAAUCCUUAACAGACCUAGAAGACAAGGGAUGAAAAUGAGCAGCAUACAAAUUCCUCAAUUCCUUUAAUUGGAUAAAGUAGCCGAAAUUUAGUAGAAUCAGUGCAUUUUGAAGAAGGAUAUAACACUCUUUUGUUGAAAUCGAGAUAACUCCUGCGGACCUUCAGAGAAGAUACAAUUGUCACUGGUUGCUUUUCCUCUCAAGGUUACAGUAAACACUCUUGCUCAGAGAAAUCCUUAUCGGUGGACCACUUCUAAAAGGUAUGUCGAAGCCCAAACGUUACAAGAACUUUCAGAACUCAGUUCAAUCAGCAUAUGCAUCACAAAGUGUAGCACAACCUUUAUCAACUGAAUCAACACCUUCGCAUUUUGAUGAUACACCACAAGUUCAACCAACAGCACGACCAACACCUUCAAGUCUUAUUGCAGCAAAUUCAAUUCUAUCAGAUCAGACAACAACACAGUAGGUUCCAUCAGUCCGGGCCGCGUCACAACAACCACCAUCUAGAAAGCGUAGUGGACGUGUGUCUUCGCAAUAUUGGACUGUAGAUGCAAUAGAUUCACAAGGAGCUAGCAGGAUACUUAAAGUGAAGAAAAGAGUCGUGUUAAAUUUAUCUAAUGGAGAACGUAUUGUGGUUGAUUUUGACGACAUGGAUUCUCCCAUCGGUGAAAGACAAGGCAUUCUUGCAGGCUUUUGUGAAAUUUUAGCAACUGACUGCUCCAUUUUUCCAAUUCACUUUGAGAAAUGGCCGGAUUUACCUGUGACAACCUUCAACCAUUGUUAUGAUCGAUUUAUAAAGCCGCGAUUUUGUUUUCGAACAACUGAGUCAAAUGCAAGACGAUAUGUUUAUAAUUCUAUGUGUAAGAAGUGGGGGCGCAAGAAGGAUAAAGUUGUUUGAUAAGGUCUAUGAUCCACUUAAGAGCAGAACCGAGAUAAUGGAUAGCGUUCCACUAGGAAUUCCACCGGAUCAAUGGAUUUCUUAUGUUGAUUACCGCUUUAAAGAAAAGACACAGGAAAUUUGUAAAAGAAAUGCUGAAAUCCGGAAGAAACAAAUUGUUUCACAUAUCGGUGGAUCCAAACCUAACUCCAGAAGAAGGACUGAAAUGAUGGCUGAGACUGGACAAAAGCCUGGACGAGGACAACUUUAUCUAGCUACACAGAAAUGAAGAUGGAUCAUAUGUUAAUGAGGCGGCAAAAGAAAUAUGUGAAAAAAUUGAACUAGCAUUGAACCAAAGCACCAUGGAUGAGUCUGAAAUUUCGCCAAAUGAUGUCGUUGAUAAGGUGCUGGGAAAAGAGCACUCUGGAAGGGUAAAGUGCUUGGGAUUAGGAGCUAUUCCUGGUAGAGCUUUUAGACAAACAAGACCUCGUUAUAGUGAUUUGAAUGCUUCAAGUUAUAAUAACGGUUCAUGUUCUUCCCAAUGCCAAGAGAAGUACAAUCAAAUGUUAAAUGCUCACAAUCAAAGCCAAGAAAAUUUUAGAGAAAUGAUGAAUGCUAACACCCAAAUGAUGAAUGCUUUUAAGGCGUAUAUGAUAAUGAAAGAAGGGAGGAUACCUGAAGAAUUUGCAGGGAUCUCUGUUUCUCCUCCUCAUUCAACGUCAGGUGAUGCGGCUAGCAGAUCCAUUUCACCCCUGGAUGCAAGAAGAUCUUCUAGUGAAAGUAAUUCUAACGACAACCAUUGAAGUUUCUUGAAAAUGUAUCUUACUCGAUUGAAUGACCAUAGGAGAUCUUUUGUCCUUAAUUAAUAGUUCGAGUAGAUGUUCUGUUUAAAGUUAGUUUUAAGACUAACUAUAAUACUGAUUUUGUGUUUAGUGGAUGGAGUAGUUGUGUUUAAAGCAAGUUUUUGAGACUAA